GACGAACGCUGGCGGCGUGCUUAACACAUGCAAGUCGAACGAAGCUUGAUUACGGAUUCUUCGGAUGAAGUAUGAUAUGACUGAGUGGCGGACGGGUGAGUAACGCGUGAGUAACCUGCCCUUCAGAGGGGGAUAGCGUUUGGAAACGAACGGUAAUACCGCAUAAUGUAUUUUGACCGCAUGAUCGAAAUACCAAAGAUUUAUCGCUGAAGGAUGGACUCGCGUCUGAUUAGGUAGUUGGUGGGGUAACGGCCUACCAAGCCGACGAUCAGUAGCCGGACUGAGAGGUUGAUCGGCCACAUUGGGACUGAGACACGGCCCAGACUCCUACGGGAGGCAGCAGUGGGGAAUAUUGCACAAUGGGCGCAAACCUGAUGCAGCAACGCCGCGUGAAGGAAGACGGUUUUCGGAUUGUAAACUUCUGUUCUUAGUGAAGAAUAAUGACGGUAGCUAAGGAGCAAGCCACGGCUAACUACGUG
rnacentral:rRNA from 1 species